rnacentral:rRNA from 1 species
AACGAACGCUGGCGGCAGGCCUAACACAUGCAAGUCGAGCGAUUGCAGCAAUGCGGGAGCGGCAGACGGGUGAGUAACACGUGGGAACGUACCCUUCGGUUCGGAAUAACUCAGGGAAACUUGAGCUAAUACCGGAUACGUCCGAGAGGAGAAAGAUUUAUCGCCGAAGGAUCGGCCCGCGUCUGAUUAGCUAGUUGGUGAGGUAACGGCUCACCAAGGCGACGAUCAGUAGCUGGUCUGAGAGGAUGAUCAGCCACACUGGGACUGAGACACGGCCCAGACUCCUACGGGAGGCAGCAGUGGGGAAUAUUGGACAAUGGGGGCAACCAUGAUCCAGCCAUGCCGCGUGAGUGAUGAAGGCCUUAGGGUUGUAAAGCUCUUUUACCCGGGAAGAUAAUGACGGUACCGGGAGAAUAAGCCCCGGCUAACUUCGUGCCAGCCGCCGCCGUAAGAC